UUGCUUAGAGAAAGGUCAAAGUUGAAAGAUGACAUAAUUCAAGCCGUAAGGCAAGAGUUCGAGAACAAGAGGAUACAUAUUGAAGGUGAAAAGUGUAAAGCCAAAAAUUCUCAAGGCCAAAGCAUGCAAACCUGAGGAAAUCAUGGUAGGUGGGCACCAAGCUUUGGAUGAUUUAGAUGAGGCCUAGAGUAAUUACUAAGCCCGGAAACCAAACAAAGUAGUAUUGAGCCGAGAGGCUUUAUUAGUUGUGCACUUUGGGGGG